rnacentral:rRNA from 1 species
AGUGAACGCUGGCGGCAGGCCUAACACAUGCAAGUCGAACGGCAGCACAGGGGUAGCAAUACCCUGGGUGGCGAGUGGCGGACGGGUGAGGAAUACGUCGGAAUCUGCCUAUUUGUGGGGGAUAACGUAGGGAAACUUACGCUAAUACCGCAUACGACCUACGGGUGAAAGCGGAGGACCUUCGGGCUUCGCGCAGAGUAGAUGAGCCGACGUCGGAUUAGCGUAGUUGGCGGGGAAAGGCCCACCAAGGCGACGAUCCGUAGCUGGUCUGAGAGGAUGAUCAGCCACACUGGAACUGAGACACGGUCCAGACUCCUACGGGAGGCAGUCAGUGGGGAAUAUUGGACAAUGGGCGCAAGCCUGAUCCAGCGAUGCCGCGUGUGUGAAGAAGGGCCUGCGGGUU